rnacentral:tRNA from 1 species
CAAGAAAUAGUUUAAGUUAAAAUUUUAAUUUUGGAGAUUAAUGAUAAAGAGGUUUCUUUUUUCUUGA